UACGUAGGGUGCGAGCGUUAAUCGGAAUUACUGGGCGUAAAGCGUGCGCAGGCGGUUCGUUAAGUUCGUUGUGAAAGCCCCGGGCUCAACCUGGGAACUGCAAUGGAAACUGGCGGGCUUGAAUGCGGCAGAGGGGGGUGGAAUUCCGCGUGUAGCAGUGAAAUGCGUAGAGAUGCGGAGGAACACCGAUGGCGAAGGCAGCCCCCUGGGCCAACACUGACGCUCAGGCACGAAAGCGUGGGGGAGCAAACAGG
rnacentral:rRNA from 1 species